ensembl:lncRNA
GUUGCUCAGGCGCUCUCGGGCUCUGUUGUUAAACUGGAUUGUUUAUCAAUUGGAAGAUCGAUGGAUUGUUCCCUGAUUCCCCCAGAUUCCUCCCGAGUUGCCCCCAAUGGAUCCAUCAGAGUGUGUAAUAUCCAUCCAUCCAUUCGCUUCCGCUUAUCCUUUUCAGGGUCGCGGGGGGCGCUGGAGCCUAUCCCAGGUGUCAUAGGGCGAGAGGCAGGGUACACCCUGGACAGGUCGCCAGUCUGUCGCAGGGCCAACACACAGGGACAGACAACCAUUCGCACUCACAUUCAUUCGCACAUUCACACCUAGUGACAAUUUGGAUUAUCCAAUUAACCUAUCCCCACAAGUUGCAUGUCUUUGGACGGUGGGAGGAAGCCAGAGUACCCGGAGGAAACCCACGCAAACACGGGGAGAACAUGCAACCUCCACACAGAAAUGAUGGAAUUGAACUCAGGACCUUCUUGCUGUGCGGCAACAGUGCUAACCACCGUGCCACCGUUCUGCCCUAGUGUGUAAUAUUAAUAUUUAUUUAUUUAUUUAUUUUUUUAUUAUGUUGCUCUUUGUUGUUUGCUUUCUCUUCUCUUUUUUUUUUUUUUUUUCUCCAUACAGGUGACCCAGACUGGUACUUUUAAAUGGACUGGUACUCACAUAGUGGCUUUCUACUCAAUUUGAGCACUCAAAACACUUUGUACUCAUCUCAUUCACUCAGUCAUACACACAGAGUGUUUUUACCUUUUUUUUUUUUUUUUUAGUGUGUAAUAUUAAAAAGGUAAAAACACAAGUACCAGUCCGGCAUUUUUGUUAGUGGGUCUGAGGCGAGGCCCACUAACAAAAUUGUGAAGAAUGCUGAUAGAAUAAAAUAGAAUAGAAUAGAAUAAUAAUUUAUUGUGAGUCUCAUCCAGGACAUCAAUGAAUAAGUUAGCAGGUGAACCAACUGGAGAACUGUAAUAACACCUUAACACUAAAUACUGAAUAAAAAAAGGAGAUCAGCAUGAGCCAGCACAGUCACAUAUCACUUCUUUUCAACAACACCACAGUGAAGAUGGCCAGCAGCACGAAACUCCUGGGCGUACAGAUAGACCUGUCCUGUUCACUGCACAGUGGAGCUCUU